UUGUAGGUAGCUUAAGUGUAGAGCUCUGGAUUCUUACUCCAGCUGUGUUUUGUGAACCCUUCAAA
rnacentral:tRNA from 1 species